GACAGAGGGUGCAAACGUUGCUCGGAAUUACUGGGCGUAAAGCGCGUGUAGGCGGACCUGUAAGUUGGACGUGAAAGCCCUGGGCUCAACCCAGGAAUUGCAUCCAAAACUACAGGCCUAGAGUGAUGGAGAGGGUAGCAGAAUUCCUGGUGUAGAGGUGAAAUUCGUAGAUAUCAGGAGGAACACCGGUGGCGAAGGCGGCUACCUGGACA
rnacentral:rRNA from 1 species